GCAGCAGCAGCUAGGCACUUUACUGCUGCUGCAGCUGAGCAGCAAACCUAGGUGUUGCUGCUGCUGUUGCUGCUGCUGUUGCUGUUGCUG
rnacentral:pre_miRNA from 11 species